rnacentral:rRNA from 1 species
GUGGGGAAUAUUGGGCAAUGGGCGAAAGCCUGACCCAGCAACGCCGAGUGAAGGAAGAAGGCUUUCGGGUUGUAAACUUCUUUUGUCAGGGACGAAAAAAAUGACGGUACCUGACGAAUAAGCCACGGCUAACUACGUGCCAGCAGCCGCGGUAAUACGUAGGUGGCAAGCGUUAUCCGGAUUUAUUGGGUGUAAAGGGCGUGUAGGCGGGACAGCAAGUCAUAUGUGAAAACCAGAGGCUCAACCUCUGGCCUGCAUUUGAAACUGUGGUUCUUGAGUGUCGGAGAGGUCAGCGGAAUUCCGCGUGUAGCGGUGGACUGCGUAGAUAUACGGAGGAACACCAGUGGCGAAGGCGGAUUACUGGACGAUAACUGACGCUGAGGCGCGAAAGCGUGGGGAGCAAACAGGAUUAGAUACCCUAGUAGUCC